UCCGGUUUGUCACCGGCAGUCUCGCAUGAGUCCCCACCCGAAGUGCUGGCAACAUGCGACGGGGGUUGCGCUCGUUGCGGGACUUAACCCAGCAUCUCACGACACGAGCUGACGACAGCCAUGCACCACCUGUGAACCUGCCCCGAAGGGAAGCCCUGUUUCCAGGGCGGUCAGGCACAUGUCAAGCCCAGGUAAGGUUCUUCGCGUUGCGUCGAAUUAAACUACAUGCUCCGCUGCUUGUGCGGGCCCCCGUCAAUUCCUUUGAGUUUCAGUCUUGCGACCGUACUCCCCAGGCGGAAUACUUAACGCGUUAGCUGCGGCUCUGGACCGUUGACGGGCCCAAAACCUAGUAUUCAUCGUUUAUGGCAUGGACUAC
rnacentral:misc_RNA from 1 species